rnacentral:pre_miRNA from 1 species
UCAUUUUGAGCCUGACCCAAAGCUCACUAAAGUCAAUGGGAGUCUUUCCAUUGACUUCAAAGGUCUUUGAAUCAGGCCUUUAGU